GGAGGANCACCAGUGGCGAAAGCGGCUCUCUGNUCUGUCACUGACGCUGAGGCUCGAAAGCGUGGGUAGCGANCAGGAUUAGAUACCCUGGUAGUCCACGCCGUAAACGAUGAGUGCUAGGUGUUAGGCCCUUUCCGGGGCUUAGUGCCGGAGCUAACGCAAUAAGCACUCCGCCUGGGGAGUACGACCGCAAGGUUGAAACUCAAAGGAAUUGACGGGGGCCCGCACAAGCGGUGGAGCAUGUGGUUUAAUUCGAAGCAACGCGAAGANCCUUACCAGGUCUUGACAUCCCGAUGCUAUUCUUAGAGAUAGGAAGUUACUUCGGUACAUCGGAGACAGGUGGUGCAUGGUUGUCGUCAGCUCGUGUCGUGAGAUGUUGGGUUAAGUCCCGCAACGAGCGCAACCCUUAUUGUUAGUUGCCAUCAUUAAGUUGGGCACUCUAGCGAGACUGCCGGUAAUAAACCGGAGGAAGGUGGGGAUGACGUCAAAUCAUCAUGCCCCUUAUGACCUGGGCUACACACGUGCUACAAUGGUCGGUACAACGAGUUGCGAGCCGGUGACGGCAAGCUAAUCUCUGAAAGCCGAUCUCAGUUCGGAUUGGAGGCUGCAACUCGCCUCCAUGAAGUCGGAAUCGCUAGUAAUCGCGGAUCAGCACGCCGCGGUGAAUACGUUCCCGGGCCUUGUACACACCGCCCGUCACACCACGAGAGUUUGUAACACC
rnacentral:rRNA from 1 species